rnacentral:rRNA from 1 species
AACGAACGCUGGCGGCAGGCUUAACACAUGCAAGUCGAGCGAAGACUUCGGUCUUAGCGGCGGACGGGUGAGUAACGCGUGGGAAUCUGCCUUCUAGUGGGGGAUAGCCCGGAGAAAUCCCGGAUUAAUACCGCAUACGCCCUACGGGGAAAGCCGGGAUCUUCGGACCUGGCGCUAGUAGAUGAGCCCGCGUGAGAUUAGCUUGUUGGUGGGGUAAUGGCCUACCAAGGCAACGAUCUCUAGCUGGUCUGAGAGGACGAUCAGCCACACUGGGACUGAGACACGGCCCAGACUCCUGCGGGAGGCAGCAGUGGGGAAUAUUGGACAAUGGGCGAAAGCCUGAUCCAGCAAUGCCGCGUGUGUAGAAGAAGG